rnacentral:rRNA from 1 species
ACACUCCUAGAGAUAGGACUUUCCCCUUCGGGGGACAGAGUGACAGGUGGUGCAUGGUUGUCGUCAGCUCGUGUCGUGAGAUGUUGGGUUAAGUCCCGCAACGAGCGCAACCCUUGAUCUUAGUUGCCAGCAUUCAGUUGGGCACUCUAAGGUGACUGCCGGUGACAAACCGGAGGAAGGUGGGGAUGACGUCAAAUCAUCAUGCCCCUUAUGACCUGGGCUACACACGUGCUACAAUGGAUGGUACAAAGGGCAGCGAAACCGCGAGGUGAAGCCAAUCCCAUAAAACCAUUCUCAGUUCGGAUUGCAGGCUGCAACUCGCCUGCAUGAAGCCGGAAUCGCUAGUAAUCGCGGAUCAGCAUGCCGCGGUGAAUACGUUCCCGGGCCUUGUACACACCGCCCGUCACACCACGAGAGUUUGUAACACCCGAAGUCGGUGGGGUAACCGUAAGGAGCCAGCCUCUUAAGGUGGGACAG